rnacentral:rRNA from 1 species
GACGAACGCUGGCGGCGUGCUUAACACAUGCAAGUCACGGGGGCGUGGAGCAAUCCAGUAACCGGCGAACGGGUGCGUAACACGUGAGCAACCUGCCGUACUCAGGGGGAUAGCCGGCCCAACGGCCGGGUAAUACCGCAUACGUUCUCGCAGGGGAGUCCCUGUGGGAGGAAACCUCCGGGGAGGUACGAGGGGCGUCGCGGCCUAUCAGCUAGUUGGUGCGGUAACGGCGCACCAAGGCGACGACGGGAGCUGAUCUGA